rnacentral:pre_miRNA from 1 species
GUGUGUGUGUGUGGUGUUCAGCACCUGGGACAGGUGUGUUUGCCUGUGUGUGGAUGGUGUUCAGCAUAAAGGAUGGGUGUGUUUACCU